rnacentral:rRNA from 1 species
AGAGCGAACGCUGGCGGCAGGCCUAACACAUGCAAGUCGAACGGACCCUUCGGGGUUAGUGGCGGACGGGUGAGUAACACGUGGGAACGUGCCUUUAGGUUCGGAAUAGCUCCUGGAAACGGGUGGUAAUGCCGAAUGUGCCCUUCGGGGGAAAGAUUUAUCGCCUUUAGAGCGGCCCGCGUCUGAUUAGCUUGUUGGUGAGGUAAUGGCUCACCAAGGCUACGAUCAGUAGCUGGUCUGAGAGGAUGACCAGCCACAUUGGGACUGAGACACGGCCCAAACUCCUACGGGAGGCAGCAGUGGGGAAUCUUGCGCAAUGGGCGAAAGCCUGACGCAGCCAUGCCGCGUGUAUGAUGAAGGUCUUAGGAUUGUAAAAUCUUUCACCGGUGAAGAUAAUGACUGUAGCCGGAGAAGAAGCCCCGGAUAACGUUCGUGCCAGCCAGCCGC